GAUGAACGCUGGCGGCGUGCCUAAUACAUGCAAGUCGAGCGAACAGACGAGGAGCUUGCUCCUCUGACGUUAGCGGCGGACGGGUGAGUAACACGUGGAUAACCUACCUAUAAGACUGGGAUAACUUCGGGAAACCGGAGCUAAUACCGGAUAAUAUAUUGAACCGCAUGGUUCAAUAGUGAAAGACGGUUUUGCUGUCACUUAUAGAUGGAUCCGCGCCGCAUUAGCUAGUUGGUAAGGUAACGGCUUACCAAGGCAACGAUGCGUAGCCGACCUGAGAGGGUGAUCGGCCACACUGGAACUGAGACACGGUCCAGACUCCUACGUGAGGCAGCAGUAGGGAAUCUUCCGCAAUGGGCGAAAGCCUGACGGAGCAACGCCGCGUGAGUGAUGAAGGUCUUCGGAUCGUAAAACUCUGUUAUUAGGGAAGAACAAAUGUGUAAGUAACUAUGCACGUCUUGACGGUACCUAAUCAGAAAGCCACGGCUAACUACGUG
rnacentral:rRNA from 1 species